UUAGAAAGGAGUAUAGAACAUGCCAAUGAUGUGCACAAAUUCCAGUUGAGUUUUUCCAGUUUAGGUUACAAAUCUUUAGCAACAUUCUUAAUGGUUACUUGGAAUAUCAGUGGUUGUUGCUCAGAGGGGUUAUUUCAUUUAGUCAAUGUGAAAAUAAUGGUAUUAAAUUCCUCAGUAAAGAUAAUACCAUGGGACCCCGGGAAACUCAAUGCUUUUAUGGCUAAAGUUGCUUGUGAAUGCUACUGGAGAAAUUUUC
rnacentral:lncRNA from 1 species